rnacentral:rRNA from 1 species
GAUGAACGCUGGCGGCGUGCUUAACACAUGCAAGUCGAACGGGAAACCUUUUAUUGAAGCUUCGGCAGAUUUAGCUGGAUUCUAGUGGCGGACGGGUGAGUAACGCGUGGGUAACCUGCCCUAUACAGGGGGAUAACAACCAGAAAUGGUUGCUAAUACCGCAUAAGCGCACAGGGCCGCAUGGUCCGGUGUGAAGAACUCCGGUGGUAUAGGAUGGACCCGCGUUGGAUUAGCCAGUUGGCAGGGUAACGGCCUACCAAAGCGACGAUCCAUAGCCGGCCUGAGAGGGUGAACGGCCACAUUGGGACUGAGACACGGCCCAGACUCCUACGGGAGGCAGCAGUGGGGAAUAUUGCACAAUGGGGGAAACCCUGAUGCAGCGACGCCGCGUGAAGGAAGAAGUAUCUCGGUAUGUAAACUUCUAUCAGCAGGGAAGAUAGUGACGGUACCUGACUAAGAAGCCCCGGCUAACUACGUG